UUCCCCAAGCAUGGAGAGAACUUUGGUUAAUGAACUUAGAGACUCAUUAGGACCCUUUACAAAAAAGGACCUUGGACAAAUGUGACCUAACAUAGAAGAAGCGUGCAAGAAUCAAGAAGAAUUUGUAAUCUGUCAAUUGUAAUCUUUUACAUGCUUUCCAAUUUAGAACACGAUUGCACACACAUGGCUUUAUCUUGGGCUACCUGACAAUGAGACCUUUUAC
rnacentral:lncRNA from 1 species